rnacentral:ncRNA from 1 species
ACUGACAGAGCUAGCGAGUACUCUCUUGGCCAGAAGGCCCGGGUAAUCUUGUUACACUCCGUCGUGCUAGGGGUAGAGCAUUGCAAUUAUUGCUCUUUAAC